GGGCCCGCACAAGCGGUGGAGCAUGUGGUUCAAUUCGACGCAACGCGAAGAACCUUACCGGGGUUUGAACCGUACGGGACAGCUGCAGAGAUUCAGUUUUCCUUCGGGACCCGUAUAGAGGUGCUGCAUGGCUGUCGUCAGCUCGUGUCGUGAGAUGUUGGGUUAAGUCCCGCAACGAGCGCAACCCUUGCCUCCUGUUGCUAACGAGUAAGGUCGAGCACUCUGGAGAGACUGCCGGUGAUAAACCGGAGGAAGGUGGGGAUGACGUCAAGUCCUCAUGGCCUUUAUGCCCCGGGCUACACACGUGCUACAAUGGUUGGUACAAAGGGUCGCAAAGCCGCGAGGUGGAGCUAAUCCCAGAAAACCAAUCCCAGUUCGGAUUGCAGUCUGCAACUCGACUGCAUGAAGCUGGAAUCGCUAGUAAUCGCGGAUCAGCACGCCGCGGUGAAUACGUUCCCGGGCCUU
rnacentral:rRNA from 1 species